AAUACUUUUUCAAUUUUUGGGGUUCUAUAAAUUGGCUACAUCUAUCAACAAUGUGAUAGCACAUAACCACUUACAUUUUUUUAGAAGACAAAAAAAGGUGAUGGAGAGGAAAACACUUGCUAGCUUGUGCUUCUUUCUCAUUGUUCUCUUAGCUGCUCAAGUAGUGGCGCAAAUUGUGCCUUGUAAGACACGAAAUCGUAACUUCAAGAGUGCAUGUAUUGCUGUAUCUGGCGACAACGAAGAAUGUGACCAUGAUUGCAGGAGAGUAGGAGGCUGGUAUGGUGGUUCUUGCAAAAAUCAGAAAUGUGUUUGUGACUGUUGAACAUCUCCUACAUAAAUAAAUAAUCUAGUUAUAGUAUGAUUCAUAGCUAGAUUAUGUUUAUGGAAUAAAUCAUUGAUCAAUUCUCUUCCCUUGAGUGAGAAGAGAAUUAAUUAAUAUAUAGAGUAAUAUGUGUGACAAGAUAGCAUGUUGUCUUAUUAAAUAAACGGAAAUGAUUAUCAUAGCAAGACAUUGCAUCGUGAGGAUUUCCAGAAUGAUGUGGCAACAUAAUAUCUUUAUUAAAUUGGCUGAAUAGUGUUUCGCGGCCGUUUCACGAUUUGAGGAAUGCUAGGGUCACACCCUCUAACUCACCAUUUAACACACUCCAAUAGGUCACCUCAUCCAAUUUUUUAUUUUCCUUUUGAUUUAAUUUGGGUGAAAAGCGACAAUUCCUUCGGGACAUACAAGAACUUGGUCUUGGAGAAGGUCGAGCGAAGAAGAUAGAUAUUAAACUCCAAAAAAUAAAAAAUAAAAUAAAUGUUCAUAAAGUGAAACCGGUAGCUGUAAAGAAAAUAAAAAAGUGGACUACAUGGCUUAUCUUGAUUGGAGUGUAUUAAAAGGGUAUGUUAGAAGGUGUGACCCUAGCAUUCCUCUUCAUGAUUUUUCACCUUGGGAUGUAUAGCAUCGCUGUUAAAUAAAAUAUGUGUUAAUUAUGUUUGUAGUGUUA